rnacentral:rRNA from 1 species
CCUACGGGUGGCAGCAGUGAGGAAUAUUGGUCAAUGGACGAAAGUCUGAACCAGCCAUGUAGCGUGAAGGAUGACUGCUCUAUGGGUUGUAAACUGCUUUUAUAUAGGAAUAAAACAGGGUAUGUAUAUUCUCCUGUAUGUACUAUACGAAUAAGGAUCGGCUAACUCCGUGCCAGCAGCCGCGGUAAUACGGAGGAUCCGAGCGUUAUCCGGAUUUAUUGGGUUUAAAGGGAGCGUAGGUGGAUUGUUAAGUUAGUUGUGAAAGUUUGCGGCUCAACCGUGGAAGUGCAGUUGAUACUGGCAAUCUAGAGUGCAGGAGCGGUAGGCGGAAUUCGUGGUGUAGCGGUGAAAUGCUUAGAUAUCAAGAAGAACACCGAUUGCGAAGGCAGCUCACUGGACUACAACUGACGUGGAUGCACGAAAGUGUGGGGAUCAAACAGGAUUAGAUACCCCGGUAGUC